GCAGGGGUAGCCAAGUGGACUACGGCGCCAGUCUUGAAAACUGGUUCCCUUCGGGGAGCAUGGGUUCGAAUCCCAUUCCCUGCGCCA
rnacentral:tRNA from 1 species